ensembl:processed_transcript
UGUGCCACUACACCUGGCUUAAAGACUUCCUUUAAAGCUAUAUUCAACCACAUCAAAACAUUACCUUUCCUCCUUCACUGAUGCUUUAAAUCAUAUAAACAUAAUGAAUAUUUUAGGUUCUAUGAAGCUAUAAUCUUUUAUGGCCUGAAAGGUCAUGAUAUUCAUAACUAAGUGGGCUCUAGACGUAUGACUUUAUGCCAGAUUGGGAGAUUGAUGUGUCUAUUAUCUCUUAUUAAUUACCUUUGUAUUAGUAAACAUAUUAAGGGAAAUAUGUGGAAAUUCUUUGAAAAGUAUUAGCAUAUUUCUUUUUUAACUGUCAAUACUUGUCUGUUUUAACAAGACCCUGGGUUGUAUUUUGGCUUGUUUGGAAGUUUGCUUUAUCAUUAUGAUCCACUUGGAGACUAAGCCAUGUAAAUUAGGCAUUUGACAGUCUGCAUAAGCGGAAUGCCAUUAGGUGAGUCAUUAGCUCUUAUUAUGAAAUUAUAGUCCUAUCAUCUGAAGGGUUAGAUACCUUGUGGUUUCUAGAUGGCUAUCAGCAGGCCUUGGAAGCCUGCUUUUUUGAAUAUGAUUGCAGAUGGAGGAGGAGGGGAUCUUGGUUUUUAUGACUCUUUAGAGCCAGAAAUUUUCUUUGCUAAAAUGCCUCAGAAACUGUCUUAUUGAACCUCAGUGGCCAGAGUUGUCAUGGCUAUGACCAUUGCUUAGGAGGACAUCAUUGACCCUGUAGGAAUGGAGGGCUAUGGUCAGGGUCAUUGUGAUUGGCCUGCUAAUUAAUUUGCAAGGAGUAGAUAUUAGGAGACUAGCUGAAGUAUUCUUUGUAAAGGCUCGUUAAGAGCACCACUUUGUUCUUUUGAUAGCUUAUUUCAUCAAAUAGAAAAUGUGACCUGGAUAAACAUUUUUACUCUUCAUGCCAAAAUAUUUGAUAUUCUCAUUCAUUUUUCAUCAUAUAUAUGGUCAAAUAUAAGAUUAAAAAUAAAUUUUACUUCUCUUUAUGUGAGUGUAUGUGUGCACAUAUUGGUGCCUACAGUAGUCAGGAGAGGGUUGGGGAUCCCCUGGGGCUGGAAUUACAGGUGCUUGUCAGCCACUGGCCUGGGUACUACUGGAACUGACCUUGAGCCUGCAAGAGCGGCAAAUGCUCUUAGUUGGGGACUCAUUUCUCUGGUUCCCAGAGAGAAGUCACUAACUGUUUUGGUUCAUUUGAACUAUAUCUUGACAUACCGUCUCUUCAUCUAGUCCAUUGCUGUCUGUACUUGUUUCAAGGCAUUUUAUUCUUAUUUCUGAACACAACACAUUUUAGAGUACUGCAAAAUAAGUUAGUUUUGCUUUGAGUCUCUACAGAUUUGAAGCUUGCUCUGAGAGGAACUGAUGAUGGGUCUCCAUUCUGCCCCGGUUAAUCGAGUUGUUUCUGGUAAUGUCUUCAUGUUGGGUUUGGCCUCUGUUUUUCAAAUGGAGACUUUCCUGGCAAGACAGUCUUCCAGUAGCUUGUAUUCCAGAGCACAGUGCCACAGUUUAUAUCUUAAUGCUGUUCUUGGUGGCUGUCCAAGCCUUUGCCACCCUUCUGCUCGCCCACUUUCCCACAAAGGCAGGGAAGUAGAGAGAGCAGAGACGGCCUUGCUGGAGUUCUAAUAACAAAACUUCUGCUCCUCUGCUGACUGCACUUUCUCCAAAGAGAGUGGACAUUUCACAGAAAUGAAAACUAGCUUUUCCUUAGUCAAAGAUGCCUUCUCUAAGGCUUUCUUUUUUGGCUUCAGGAUUCUGCUUUCUCUGUGUCAUGCCCUUCCAUCCCUGUUGCUAACUGACUGUAAGAAGUAGCAGCGGUGGCAGCAGCUAAUAUUUGUGGAGUGUUUACUUGAAGUCAAGCACACGUCUGUAGAUUAAAAAAAUGUACGAGGUUCUUAAGUCUUACAGAAAUCUUAUGGGAUAGGAAGUGCUUCUCUCUUGAAGAAAUUAAAAGCCCAGGGAAAUGAAGAAAUUCGUCUACAGUAGUGUCCCCAUGCUCUGAGUUUAAUCACUGUCCCAGUGCUGUGGCCUGUUUUUAUAAUGUGAGGGCACAGAAUAUUAAUGAUAUGUGCUACAGGUCAUUUAAAACUCACUGUGUGUUUUCUGAAAUAAAUAAAUUAAUUAUAAUUCCUCUUAAAGCAAUUACCAAACUUUUUCUGGUAUAAUUUUUUUAUAGACUGAGAAGAUUGGAUCCCCUCUCUUCAUUUAUAAGACUUAUGUCUUCAAAUUAAAUGCUUUUGAUCUAACGCUUCUAGUUAUUAGCAGUUUCAGACAUAUCCUUAGUAAACUUGGUUUACUUUACUUCUGUAUUAUCUGGAUUGUCUCUCUGAGGAUCACGCCCCUUUGCUACAGUUUUUACUUUGAUGAGAUCAUCCAACUUGGUAUUGAAUCAUCUACUUCUUAAAUCUCUAACUCACGUUAAUAGUUUGACAGCAUCCAUUUUCUUAAAUCAGAAUCUUAAGUUGAAUAAUUUUUAGUUUCCCCUGUGUCGUAUGUAAAAAGGCAUUUAUUAGCCUGCAUUUCACUAUUUUUUUCUCAAUAGUGUGAUGAUAUAGUUUACUGAAUAUAGCAUUUUGGGACUUACUGCGUUCAUAAAGAGUUUAAUAUAGUCAUGUAUAGCUAUAGAGGUAGCUUGAUUAAGUGUCUGUUUACCUUCCAGUAAAUUCUCCGUGAGCUACAUUAGUUAUUUUCCUAAGAGAAAGCUCACCACAGACUCUGCCAUCCUGAGUGAAUACAGGCUGAACAAGUGUAUCAGUUGGAUAUAGGCUAGGCUAGUGCUAGUGCUGGCCAUCGGACCAGCGCAUGCUGAGUCAGUUAAUUCAGAGACCUACUUGCAGAAGUUAUUUUAAACAACAGCUGUGCUUGUAGAGUAGUUUUAAAUACAAACUGGCAUGAUACUACAGGAGCAUUAGUGAAGGAAGUAAGUAAGGAAGGAAGGAAGGAAGGAAGGAAGAUAGAUGCAAACAAAUGGCUGCUCUUGGGUUUCGGCACC